rnacentral:rRNA from 1 species
GAUGAACGCUGGCGGCGUGCCUAAUACAUGCAAGUCGAGCGAACAGACGAGGAGCUUGCUCCUCUGACGUUAGCGGCGGACGGGUGAGUAACACGUGGAUAACCUACCUAUAAGACUGGGAUAACUUCGGGAAACCGGAGCUAAUACCGGAUAAUAUAUUGAACCGCAUGGUUCAAUAGUGAAAGACGGUUUUGCUGUCACUUAUAGAUGGAUCCGCGCCGCAUUAGCUAGUUGGUAAGGUAACGGCUUACCAAGGCAACGAUGCGUAGCCGACCUGAGAGGGUGAUCGGCCACACUGGAACUGAGACACGGUCCAGACUCCUACGGGAGGCAGCAGUAGGGAAUCUUCCGCAAUGGGCGAAAGCCUGACGGAGCAACGCCGCGUGAGUGAUGAAGGUCUUCGGAUCGUAAAACCCAGUUAUUAGGGAAGAACAAAUGUGUAAGUAACUAUGCACGUCUUGACGGUACCUAAUCAGAAAGCCACGGCUAACUACGUG